AUCUGUUCUAGGAGGUCUGCUUUUUACCAAGCACAUUAUUUAGGACUUGUGUCACCACUCCAUAAAUUCUUUAUGUAGGCUCAUAAUUUAGGCACCAACGUGUGCUAUCAACAACCAUUUCUUGAACAUGCCUUGCUUUUUCUCUGCCACAAUAGUUUGUUUUCCUUUCCCUUAGAGAGAAAUGGAUUAGCUUAUUGCUUAUGCUAGAGAUUUCAGUCAAGAGAUCCCAAAAUGCCCAGAUGUUCCUUCUCAUAUAAAAAUGCUGAAAUCCAACCCCAGAACAAUGCACUUUAGAAAGGCAUCUGUACAGAAUAACACCAAACAUCUCUUCCAUGUCUUAUUCUCCAGAAAAUAAAAAAUCUUUGUGCUA